GAGUUUGAUCAUGGCUCAGAAUGAACGUUGGCGGCACGCCUAACACAUGCAAGUCGAGCGAAGAACUAGUUUACUAGUUACUGAGCGGCGAACGGGUGAGUAAUACUUGGAUAAUCUGCCACUAGGAUUGGGAUAACCUCAGGAAACUGAGACUAAUACCAAAUAUGACCACAGUCUUUACGGAGACAGGGGUAAAAUGUUUUUCGCCUAGUGAUGAGUCCAAGUCGCAUCAGGUUGUUGGUAAGGUAAUGGCUUACCAAGCCUAUGACGCGUAGCAGGUCUUAGCGGAUGAUCUGCCACAUGGGGACUGAGAUACGGCCCUGACUCCUACGGGAGGCAGCAGUGAGGAAUAUUGGACAAUGGACGAAAGUCUGAUCCAGCGAUGCCGCGUGAAGGAUGAAGGCCUUAGGGUUGUAAACUUCUGUCAGCAGGGAAGAUAAUGACGGUACCUGCAGAGGAAGCCCCGGCUAACUCCGUGCCAGCAGCCGCGGUAAUACGGAGGGGGCAAACGUUAUUCGGAUUUACUGGGCGUAAAGGGUUCGUAGGCGGUUUCUUAAGUUAGAUGUGAAAGCUUGAAGCUUAACUUCAAAAUAGCAUCUAAAACUGAAUUACUAGAUUCUUGGAGAGGUAGAUGGAAUUACCGGUGUAGCGGUGAAAUGCGUAGAUAUCGGUAGGAACACCAGUGGCGAAAGCGAUCUACUGGACAAGUAAUGACGCUGAGGGACGAAAGCGUGGGUAGCAAACAGGAUUAGAUACCCUGGUAGUCCACGCCCUAAACGAUGAAUACUAGAUGUUGGAUUUUUUCAGUAUCGUAGCUAACGUAUUAAGUAUUCCGCCUGGGGAGUACGGUCGCAAGGCUGAACUC
rnacentral:rRNA from 1 species